CCUGUGCAGAAAGGGUGUUUGAUAUUUAAAAAGAACUGCAAACAGGAAACCAUCUACUACAUAACAGCAGACAGUUGGUCAGCAUGUAAUCACAUUCACACACCUUGCAUUUACAGCACAUCAACAUCAGCGUAAUUGCAACAGCAGGUAUGCAGCAAGCAUUCACACUCCUGUCCCGUCCUGUUGACUUCUGGUUUACCAAGUUAUUUCCUUUUAUAAUGCCCAUUCAUUAGACAAGAGUCACUGCAAGUGGAGCAUUGCAACUACUACAAACUACAGCUGCACGGUUAAUCAUUAAGAGAUUGCGAUCUUGAUUCAAACACCCAAUUAUCUUAUUCUUAAUUGACAGGUAAAUUAAAACUUUGACAAGUACGAUCAGUGAACAUUCAGAUCUGAGUUCUGAUCCCAGAGAGAGCAGUUGUCAUGUAUAGGUAGAUUCACAAAGUCUUUUCAACCACACAGUAUCAUUAUUUCUGUCUUACAAUCAUUCAAAUUAAUCACAGAAGUACUAGGAUAAACGUUUAUAGUUCGGAUAUAAACACUGAUGUCUAUGGUAGCUAUCAAAAUAGUUAUCACCUUUUUAAAGUAACUUGACACUACCAAUAACUAUCAACUACAUCGUUACACCAGUAGGUGGCAAAAAGUGACUUAAAUGUAAUGGAAUCAUUCAUUCAAAACUCAGAUUCAUACAGUAAUGAAACAAGUUAAGUUUUUUGAGUGAGUCAUUGAAUCAUUUAUUCAACCUGAUUAAAAAAAAAAAAAAAAAAAAAAA